UACGAAGGGGCUAGCGUUGCUCGGAAUCACUGGCGUAAAGGUGCGUAGGCGGGUCUUUAAGUCAGGGUGAAUCCUGGAGCUCAACUCCAGAACUGCUUUGAUACUGAGAUCUUGAGUUCGGGAGAGGUGAGUGGAACUGCGAGUGUAGAGGUGAAAAAUUCGUAGAUAUCAAAAGCGGAACACCGGUGGCGAAAAGGCGGCCUUCUGGACAGUGACUGACGCUGAGACGCGAAAAGCGUGGGGAGCGAAAACAGG
rnacentral:rRNA from 1 species